GCAUCGCGGGGCGGAAGCUUGCUUCCGCCUGCCGGCGACCGGCGCACGGGUGAGUAACGCGUAUGCAACCUGCCCGGACCAGCGGGAUAACCCGGGGAAACCCGGCCUAAUACCGCACGGUGCCGCUUUGGGGCAUCCCAUUGCGGCUAAAGAAUCAUCGGGUCCGGAUGGGCAUGCGUGGCAUUAGCUAGUUGGCGGGGUAACGGCCCACCAAGGCGACGAUGCCUAGGGGUUCUGAGAGGAAGGUCCCCCACACUGGUACUGAGACACGGACCAGACUCCUACGGGAGGCAGCAGUGAGGAAUAUUGGUCAAUGGCCGCAGGGCUGAACCAGCCAAGUCGCGUGAGGGAUGACGGUCCUAUGGAUUGUAAACCCCUUUUGCCGGGGAGCAAGCGUGCGUUCGUGAACGCACGUCGAGAGUACCCGGAGAAAAAGCAUCGGCUAACUCCGUGCCAGCAGCCGCGGUAAUACGGAGGAUGCGAGCGUUAUCCGGAUUUAUUGGGUUUAAAGGGUGCGUAGGCGGGAUGCCAAGUCAGCGGUAAAAAUGCGGUGCUCAACGCCGUCGAGCCGUUGAAACUGGCGUUCUUGAGUGGGCGAGAAGUAUGCGGAAUGCGUGGUGUAGCGGUGAAAUGCAUAGAUAUCACGCAGAACUCCGAUUGCGAAGGCAGCAUACCGGCGCCCUACUGACGCUGAGGCACGAAAGCGUGGGUAUCGAACAGGAUUAGAUACCCUGGUAGUCCACGCAGUAAACGAUGAAUGCUAACUGUC
rnacentral:rRNA from 1 species